UACAGAGGUCCCAAGCGUUGUUCGGAUUCACUGGGCGUAAAGGGUGCGUAGGUGGCUUGGUAAGUUCGAUGUGAAAUCUCCGGGCUUAACCCGGAAAUGGCAUUGAAUACUAUUGAGCUGGAGGUUUGGAGGGGGGACUGGAAUUCUCGGUGUAGCAGUGGAAUGCGUAGAUAUCGAGAGGAACACCAGUGGCGAAGGCGAGUCCCUGGACAACACCUGACACUGAGGCACGAAAGCUAGGGGAGCAAACAGG
rnacentral:rRNA from 1 species